rnacentral:rRNA from 1 species
ACUCAAAUGAAUUGACGGGGGCCCGCACAAGCGGUGGAUUAUGUGGUUUAAUUCGAAGCAACGCGAAAAACCUUACCUGGGCAGAAACUCCCGAGAACCUGUCUGAAAGGAUGGGGUGCCAGCAAUGGAAUUCGGAGAGAGGUGCUGCAUGGCUGUCGUCAGCUCGUGUUGUGAAAUGUUGGGUUAAGUCUCGCAACGAGCGCAACCCCUACUGUUAGUUGCCAGCAUUAAGUUGGGCACUCUAAUGGGACUGCCAGUGUUAAACUGGAGGAAGGUGGGGAUGACGUCAAGUCCUCAUGGCCCUUAUGUCCAGGGCUACACACGUAAUACAAUGGUUGGAACAAAGGGAAGCAAGAUCGCGAGGUUAAGCAAAUCUCAAAAAACCAAUCUCAGUCCGGAUUGAAGUCUGCAACUCGACUUCAUGAAGUUGGAAUCGCUAGUAAUCGCAGAUCAGCAUGCUGCGGUGAAUACGUUCCCGGGCCUUGCACACACCGCCCGU